CUGACUCAAUCAACUUUCUUUGAGGAGCCUCACCCCCACCCAAUGGUCAAUAGACUGACUCCAUCAACAUGAGUCAGUUGACAAAAGAACAUCAGAAAAUCAGCCAGGUUCAAAGACCUGCCCAUUCACCUUUCCUACUCCUAAUUAUCAUAACUUUACCUGUGGGAGGGGCUUACUCUAUAAAAACCCUAUUCUCCAUUUUGAAAUCUUUCUCCCAGACAAGCAUAACUCUGGCAGAGAAGCAGCCAGCAGCAGAAUGUCCACAUACAAAUCACAAUUGUCAUAAAGCUUUGACACUUUGGAGUUGCUGGUAGCAGGACUGGCGAGGAUCUGUGGUGGUGCUUUCCAUAAGUGUUGGACAUUGUACUCCUACUCUUAUCACCCACUCUACGUGUCCUCUAGGUGAUGCUAACUCCAAACUUACAGACAAAAAGAAGAAAGCAUAAAUAAAAUGAAAAGAUGCUAUCAAGGAAGGUAGAAGAGGAAGAACCCCUCCCCCCCAAAAUCCUGGUGGGAGAGAGCAGGAGAGGAGACUUUUCAUCCUUCAGAUAGGAUGGGGAGUUGAGUAGACAGAAGGAGAUUCUCGGCUGGCAAGAGCAGCUGCUUCCUAGCCGGUGCAGUGUUUUAAAGGCUGAGCCUGCAGGUGCGGGAAUUUGCAAGGGCAGCCAGUCAACGGGGGAUUCCCAUGCAAACGAUAGCAUUUUCGCCAUAGACCCAACAUGGACUCAGGAAACUUGCAGUUUCUCAAGUGGACCCUCACUACAUGUGGAAGUUUUGACAUGUGGAAUGAUCUACUUGCAUCCCUUAGGGGAUGACAUCCAACCCAUUUGUUAGAUGAUUUUGCUAGGGUAUGACAUUCUGAACAGGGAAGUGAGCAUCACAUGUAGACAGGACUACAUCAGAAGCUGUACAUCUAUCUAGUAUAUCCAUGGUAUUUAUAUUAUACCAGUCAACCAUGUGCAUACUCUAGGAAUGGAAAAUAAAAGUGCCAGCUACUCAGAUGGUGUAAAUCAGCUUCAUUACAUUCUUUUGCAGUAUUUCUUGGAAUCUGAAGCUCCUAAUUGCUGUCCGCAGGCCCUUUGCAUAACCUGCUUGAUGUGAAGUGCACAUUCUGCCAAACAUUGUAACUUGCAAUAAAAUAGCUCAAAUUCUACACUGGCUUCUUUUUUCAGUCUAUUUUUGCAAGAGCAGCUGCAGGGGCCUCAACUGAAACAGAAAUACAGAAAAGUCAAAACAUGCAGAUGAAAGAAUUAGAAAAUAUGGGUGUGUUGUAUGCUUUUGGGAAAAUGUAGAUGGUGUAUAAAAUUAUUCAGCAUUUUCAAUAUAAAAAAUUGCUCCAAGUCGUGUAUACCAAUCACAAAAGUGUAUCGUGGCCCUAAAACUGUAUUAGGAGGGAUCAUACACUAACAUAUGGAAGUACCCAUUAACCUUUGUUGUUCUAUCUCAAACUUAUAACCAUUUCUGAUGUAAUGGAUAUCUAGUUUUUAUCGGUCUAUAUUAUACUAUUAUAUCUACCUAGUCAAUGAUAUUUGUAUAGUACCUAUCGUCUUAGAAUCUAAGUGCUGGUAAUAGGGGCUUUGUCUUAUACAUUU